rnacentral:rRNA from 1 species
GUGGGGAAUCUUCCGCAAUGGACGAAAGUCUGACGGAGCAACGCCGCGUGAGUGAAGAAGGUUUUCGGAUCGUAAAGCUCUUUCGUUAGGGACGAACGUGCUCUUUGUGAAUAAUGAGGAGUAAUGACGGUACCUAAAUAAGAAGCCACGGCUAACUACGUGCCAGCAGCCGCGGUAAUACGUAGGUGGCAAGCGUUGUCCGGAAUUAUUGGGCGUAAAGCGCGCGCAGGCGGGAUAUCAAGUCUGGCUUAAAAGUGCGAGGCUCAACCUCGUGAGGGGACAGAAACUGGUAUUCUUGAGUGUCGGAGAGGAAAGUGGAAUUCCAAGUGUAGCGGUGAAAUGCGUAGAGAUUUGGAAGAACACCAGUGGCGAAGGCGACUUUCUGGACGAUGUCUGACGCUGAGGCGCGAAAGCUAGGGGAGCGAACGGGAUUAGAAACCCUAGUAGUCC